UACGUAGGUGGCAAGCGUUGUCCGGAAUUACUGGGCGUAAAGCGCACGUAGGUGGCUUUGUAAGUUAGAGGUGAAAGCCCAGGGCUUAACCCUGGAAUUGCCUUUAAGACUGCAUCGCUAGAAUCGUGGAGAGGUGAGUGGAAUUCCGAGUGUAGAGGUGAAAUUCGUAGAUAUUCGGAAGAACACCAGUGGCGAAGGCGACUCACUGGACACGUAUUGACGCUGAGGUGCGAAAGCGUGGGGAGCAAACAGG
rnacentral:rRNA from 1 species